rnacentral:rRNA from 1 species
GGUGAAAGUCGUAACAAGGUCUCCGUUGGUGAACCAGCGGAGGGAUCAUUA